GACGAACGCUGGCGGCGUGCUUAACACAUGCAAGUCGAACGAUGAAGCUAGAGCUUGCUCUGGUGGAUUAGUGGCGAACGGGUGAGUAACACGUGAGUAACCUGCCCCGAACUCUGGGAUAACUGCUGGAAACGGUAGCUAAUACCGGAUAUGACCAAUGAAGGCAUCUUCUGUUGGUGGAAAGAAUUUCGGUUCGGGAUGGACUCGCGGCCUAUCAGCUUGUUGGUGAGGUAACGGCUCACCAAGGCGACGACGGGUAGCCGGCCUGAGAGGGUGAUCGGCCACACUGGGACUGAGACACGGCCCAGACUCCUACGGGAGGUAGCAGUGGGGAAUAUUGCACAAUGGGCGCAAGCCUGAUGCAGCAACGCCGCGUGAGGGACGACGGCCUUCGGGUUGUAAACCUCUUUUAGUAGGGAAGGAGCGAAAGUGACGGUACCUGCAGAAAAAGCACCGGCUAACUACGUGCCAGCCGCCGCGGUAA
rnacentral:rRNA from 1 species